UGCCAGCAGCCGCGGUAAUACGGAGGGUGCGAGCGUUAAUCGGAAUUACUGGGCGUAAAGCGCGCGUAGGUGGUCUGUUAAGUCGGAUGUGAAAUCCCGGGGCUUAACCUCGGAACUGCAUCUAAAACUGGUAAGCUAGAGUACUAGAGAGGAAAGUAGAAUUCUUAGUGUAGCGGUGGAAUGCGUAGAUAUUAAGAGGAAUACCAAUGGCGAAGGCAACUUUCUGGAUAGAUACUGACACUGAGGUGCGAAAGCGUGGGGAGCAAACAGGAUUAGAUA
rnacentral:rRNA from 1 species